rnacentral:rRNA from 1 species
GACGAACGCUGGCGGCGCGCUUAACACAUGCAAGUCGAGCGAUGAAAUCUUGACAGAACCCUUCGGGGCGAAGAUAAGAUGGAUUAGCGGCGGACGGGUGAGUAACACGUGAGUAACCUGCCUUAGACAUUGGGAUAGCCUCGGGAAACCGGGAUUAAUACCAAAUGAAAUCACAUAUGCACAUGUAUAAAUGAUCAAAGCUCCGGCGGUCUAAGAUGGACUCGCGUCCCAUUAGCUAGUUGGUGAGGUAACGGCCCACCAAGGCGACGAUGGGUAGCCGGCCUGAGAGGGUGAACGGCCACAUUGGAACUGAGAAACGGUCCAAACUCCUACGGGAGGCAGCAGUGGGGAAUAUUGCACAAUGGAGGGAACUCUGAUGCAGCGACGCCGCGUGAACGAAGAAGGCUUUCGAGUCGUAAAGUUCUUUUAUGUGGGAAGAUAAUGACGGUACCAUAAGAAAAAGCCCCGGCUAACUACGUGCCAGCAGCCGCGGUAAUACGUAGGGGGCUAGCGUUGUCCGGAAUCACUGGGCGUAAAGGGUUCGCAGGCGGAAAUGCAAGUCAGGUGUAAAAGGCAGUAGCUUAACUACUGUAAGCAUUUGAAACUGCAUAUCUUGAGAAGAGUAGAGGUAAGUGGAAUUUUUAGUGUAGCGGUGAAAUGCGUAGAUAUUAAAAAGAAUACCGGUGGCGAAGGCGACUUACUGGGCUCAUUCUGACGCUGAGGAACGAAAGCGUGGGUAGCAAACAGGAUUAGAUACCCUGGUAGUCCACGCUGUAAACGAUGAGUGCUAGGUAUCGGAAAAAUUCGGUGCCGCAGUUAACACAUUAAGCACUCCGCCUGGGGAGUACGUGCGCAAGCAUG